UAACCAGCUACCCAGUUCUUUGUGCCAUGAAACUCCUUCAGAAUGUCUGGUUUAUUGUACUGAGAGUGACUAUUGCAUCUAAAUCACUUCUCCAAAGUUACCAGGAGAGGACUCUAAGGUCACACCAGCCCCAGAUGGUCUUGACAAAUGUGAACAGCAUGAAAAGCAGGAAAUGCAGGAAAACAAGACAGAGGAAAUGGUAGAUCCAUUUGUAUCUUUUAAGGAGACAUGGUGAAAAAAAUCCAUGAUAAGCUGUAAACCUGAAGACGAAUCAUGAAAAAACAAUUGCCAUGAAACUGUAGUAAAUUCCCAGGUGUGUGGGGAAGAGAGACUCCAUGUUUUAGAAGAUGAGUUACACUCAAGUCCCAAGAAGGAAGAUCUGAGUGGUAGAUGUUUUUUCCAUUUUUAUAUUACUAAUGAUGAAACUAAGGCUCAGAGAAGUAAAGGAGCUUGCCUAAGAUGCUCUGAAAAUAUGUGGGAGAAACCACCAAACCAUUAUUAUAAUAAAUGAUCAUAAAUGAUAGAAUAAAGAAAAACCCAUAAGAGAGGAAAAUGAACCCCAGGACACUGUGAAAGGCCUGGCAAAUGCAACCUACAAUCCAUUUUGUGAUAUUGAUGAACUAUAACAUUGAUUUACCCUGUUUUUGUCACCAAAGGAAGCCACUGAGCCAUGGUUAUGAGAUUUCUUCUUGGACAUUUGAAAGUGAGAUUUUCCAAAUUCUUAUUUUUCAGAAGUUGAUGAAUUUCAGCCCUAGGCAGGAUUUUUAUAAAACAAAUUUAAGGGAGAAUAUAUUUUAGAUAAUUUAUUUUUGCUGCGAUUUAUCACCUGUUGGUUGAAGAUUGGUGUUUUAGGUGAUGCUGUUGUAAGUAGUACUGCAAACACUUUCUGCUUUUAAGUGUGUACAGCUCUCAGAAUCUGAAUUACAUGGUAUAGUGCUUUUGUAAAGUGUCUGUUUUCAAUGGUAUAAAGGACUUUUAAAGUUUAUUUUGAUAUUUUAAAUCAUCAAUCACCUGUACAUAGAAUUUGUUGUUUUUCACCUUUUCUACGUUGUUACAAAUGUAUCCCAGUCACUAGGCCAUAGUUGUCUAGGUUUUCACAAAGGUGUUUCUUUUCUCCAUGUCUUUUCCAAAAGACUUUCCAAGCUCUAGGAUUCAAGGCAGACCUCUCAUACCUCUUACAUCUUACUUAAAUCUGAUUUGGGCUUCAGGGAAAACACUGAAGACACAACCAGUACCUGAAACUUUUUUAGUCUUAGUGUUUUGAUUUAUCCUUGGUCACUUCCCCUAGCCUAUGAAAGGAAUUUCUGAUUGAGUUCUGC
rnacentral:lncRNA from 1 species